rnacentral:rRNA from 1 species
AAGGGCACCACAAGAACGCGUGGAGCAUGUGGCUUAAUCUGACUCAACGCGGAAAAUCUUACCGGGUCCGGACACACCAAGGAUUGACAGGUUCCCUUUAUUAUAAAUAUGCUAGUCCUUUCAUAAUUAUGUGAUAGGUGGUGCAUGGCCGUUCUUAGUUCGUGGAGUGAUCUGUCUGCUUAAUUGCGUAUCACUUAUAUGUAGUAAUAUAAUACUUGUAUUAUAUUACUACUUGAUAGCAACGAACGUGACCG